AUAGUGUGGUGUGGACAUUUAUGAAUUAGGUCUUUGAGUCUUUCCCAAGUCUCAUAGAAUAUUUUCCUAUCCAUUUGGAAAAAACUGAUAAUAGCUUUUCUAAUCU